rnacentral:lncRNA from 1 species
CUUUUACUCCGUCUCGCUCGCUCUCUGGUCAGCUACGGGAAAAGGUGGUUAUUGGUGGAGCGGGUGCAUCGGAGAGGACUGUAGGAUCCAGGUGGACGGUUAGCAGCGGCUCGUGACAGGGAAGGUUGAAGAGGUGAUAGUGACGGAGAAGCCAGAGGGAGACCAGGAAGAGUAGGACGUGGAGGAGAAGCUGGAAUAGAA